rnacentral:rRNA from 1 species
AGUGAACGCUGGCGGCAGGCUUAACACAUGCAAGUCGAACGGAUCCUUCGGGAUUAGUGGCGGACGGGUGAGUAACACGUGGGAACGUGCCUUUUGGUUCGGAACAACACAGGGAAACUUGUGCUAAUACCGGAUGUGCCCUUCGGGGAAGGAUUUAUCGCCAUUAGAGCGGCCCGCGUCUGAUUAGCUAGUUGGUGAGGUAAAGGCUCACCAAGGCUACGAUCAGUAGCUGGUCNGAGAGGAUGAUCAGCCACACUGGGACUGAGACACGGCCCAGACUCCUACGGGAGGCAGCAGUGGGGAAUCUUGCGCAAGUGGGGGAAACCCGUGACGCAGCCAUGCCGCGUGAAUGAUGAAGGUCUUAGAUUGUAAAUUCUUUCAGCGGGGACGAUAAUGACGGUACCCGCAGAAGAAGCUCCGGCUAACUUCGUGCCAGCAG